rfam:Ovis aries breed Texel chromosome 5, whole genome shotgun sequence.
GGGGGUAUAGCUCAGUGGUAGAGCACAGGCUUAGCAUGCAUGAGACCCUGGGUUCAAUCUCCGGUACCACCA